rnacentral:rRNA from 1 species
AGUGAACGCUGGCGGUAUGCCUAACACAUGCAAGUCGAACGGCCGCACAGUAAGCUUUUGCUCUUACGGUUGGCGAGUGACGGACGGGUGAGGCAUACAUCGGAUUCUUCUUUUUCUUGGGUGAUUUCGUAGGACCACUUAUGCUACUACCUCAUAUGUCCUACCGCUUAAUUCAAUGGUUCUUCACACCUUUCCUGUUUCUUUUAGCCGGUGUCGGAUUAGCUAGUUGGUUGGGUAACGGCCCACCAAGGCAACGCUCCGUAGCUGGUCUGAGAGGAUGAUCGGCCACACUGGAACUGAGACACGGUCCAGACUCCUACGGGAGGCAGCAGUAGGGAAUAUUGGACAAUGGGCGCAAGCCUGAUGGAGCAAUACCGCGUGAGUGAAGAAGGCCUUCGGGUUGUAAAGCCCUGUUAUUGGGAAAGAAAAAAAGUAGAAUAAAACAUGGAUGUUCUGACGGUACCCAAAGAAAAAGCACCGGCUAACUUCGUG